rnacentral:lncRNA from 13 species
AUUUCCUAUUUUGAUUUUUUUUGUUUGUUUUUGCUUUGAGCUAUAUCUUGUACAUGCGGACAUUAAGUAAUUAUUUCUUGAGUCAUCAAGAUGAGGAUAUAACCUGAUACAACCAACACCUAGAGGACUAAAUUAUUAAGCUCAUGAGACAGGAGAGACAGAUUCCCAGUGAAGACAAUGUGAAGACAGAGGCGAGAGAGAUCACUCACAGCUGGGGAUUGCCCACAGUCAUCAGAAGCUGAAAGAAGUAAGGACAGCUGGGAUUGCCCACAGUCUUCAGAAGCUGAGAGAGGAACCAGUAGCCAAAGAGUGACUUGCAAGGAUGUGCACUGGGCCAGCCCCCUUGCCUCAGGUGGGACAGACUCUGUGGUACAGUGAGUGUUCCUGGG